GACGAACGCUGGCGGCGUGCCUAAUACAUGCAAGUAGAACGCUGAAGGAGGAGCUUGCUUCUCCGGAUGAGUUGCGAACGGGUGAGUAACGCGUAGGUAACCUGCCUGGUAGCGGGGGAUAACUAUUGGAAACGAUAGCUAAUACCGCAUAAGAGUAGAUGUUGCAUGACAUUUGCUUAAAAGGUGCAAUUGCAUCACUACCAGAUGGACCUGCGUUGUAUUAGCUAGUUGGUGGGGUAACGGCUCACCAAGGCGACGAUACAUAGCCGACCUGAGAGGGUGAUCGGCCACACUGGGACUGAGACACGGCCCAGACUCCUACGGGAGGCAGCAGUAGGGAAUCUUCGGCAAUGGACGGAAGUCUGACCGAGCAACGCCGCGUGAGUGAAGAAGGUUUUCGGAUCGUAAAGCUCUGUUGUAAGAGAAGAACGAGUGUGAGAGUGAAAGUUCACACUGUGACGGUAUCUUACCAGAAAGGGACGGCUAACUACGU
rnacentral:rRNA from 1 species